rnacentral:lncRNA from 1 species
GUCCUCCGACUCUGAUGGGUGGUGAUGUUGGGGCUUCGGCCAUCGAAUUGACUUCUACGAUGAUGGGGGAUGUGAAUCCACCUUCAGUCAUUUAAUCUAUGGUCCCCCCUCUGGAGGUUGCGACGGAAGCCUUACUGGAGGAGAUUCUGGUGAGGGAGAUCUUGGUGGAGGAGAUUCUGGUGAGAGAGACCUCGAUGGAGGAGGCUCUAAUGGAGGGUACAUGGGUGAAGGAGAUUGUCGAUCAUCUGGGAGAGGCUCUAGUGGCCAUAAUAGAAGUCGAGAAUCCUUCGGAGCAAGUAGUGCCC